rnacentral:rRNA from 1 species
UACAGAGACUGCAAGCGUUAUUCGGAUUCAUUGGGCGUAAAGGGUGCGCAGGUGGCGAGGCAAGUCGGAUGUGAAAUCCCGGGGCUCAACCCCGGAACUGCAUUCGAUACUGCCUUGCUAGAGUGCUGGAGAGGAGAUUGGAAUUUACGGUGUAGCAGUGAAAUGCGUAGAUAUCGUAAGGAAGAACCAGUGGCGAAGGGCGGAUCUCUGGACAGGCUACUGACACUGAGGCACGAAGGCCAGGGGAGCAAACGGGGAUUAGAAUGACCCCUG